rnacentral:rRNA from 1 species
AGCGAACGCUGGCGGCAGGCCUAACACAUGCAAGUCGAACGGACCCUUCGGGGUUAGUGGCGGACGGGUGAGUAACACGUGGGAACGUGCCUUUAGGUUCGGAAUAGCUCCUGGAAACGGGUGGUAAUGCCGAAUGUGCCCUUCGGGGGAAAGUUUUAUCUCCUUUAGAGCGGCCCGCGUCUGAUUAGCUAGUUGGUGGGGUAAUGGCUCACCAAGGCGACGAUCAGUAGCUGGUCUGAGAGGAUGACCAGCCACAUUGGGACUGAGACACGGCCCAAACUCCUACGGGAGGCAGCAGUGGGGAAUCUUGCGCAAUGGGCGAAAGCCUGACGCAGCCAUGCCGCGUGGAUGAUGAAGGUCUUAGGAUUGUAAAAUCCUUUCACCGGUGAAGAUAAUGACUGUAGCCGGAGAAGAAGCCCCGGCUAACUUCGUGCCAGCAGCCGCCGUAAGAC